rfam:Halobacillus sp. BBL2006 cont102, whole genome shotgun sequence.
AUUUACUACUAGGGGAGCCUGAAUGGGCUGAGAGGAAAGCAGUAAGCUUUCUGACUCUUAUGAACCUGAUCUGGUUAAUACCAGCGGAGGGAAGUAGUUGGACAUUAUG